rnacentral:lncRNA from 1 species
GAGCACCGUGUCAAACUUCUGAAUUUUUGCCAGUCGGAUGGAGGAGAAAUGGCACCUCAGCCUGGCCUCCCUCAGCAUCUCUCUUAUACGAGCAAAGUUAAUGCCUUCUCAUGUAUCCAAGGACCAUUUUUGCAACCUUUUGGGGAAACUGUUUUUCUUGCCCUUUGCUCAUUUUUCUCCAUGAUUUUUGCGCUUUUGUUUCUCGACUUUUAAAAAGUUCCUUGUAUAUGAAAGCCAUUCACCUUUUAUCAGUGAAAUCAUAUGACCGCUGCGGGGAAUUGAACUACAUCCUCCACCACACGCCAGCUCCUCUCCCCGCUGGCUCUGUGUCUUCGUGGCUCCGUGGCUGGAGAGCUGUGCGGUUUCCUUCGCAGGGGCUGGGCACAUUUCUCGUCGAGUUGACUGCUGCGGCCCGGGGAGCAGGGCUCCAGCUGCAGCUGGUUGUACCCCCCGGCACGCCGACUCCCUCCCGCCUGUGCCCUCUGACCCGUGUGGCCAUAUCUAGGGACCCCUUGCCUCCAGCUCCUCUCUGUGUUUGUCCCAUAGAAGCCACCCUGCUCCCCAGAGAGGCUAGGACAGGAUGAGAAAGAUGGGGUGUCGUUCCCUGCUCACUGCUGCCCGGCGGGGUUGACCAGGACGCAGCUUCUCUGGGGCAGUCCUGACCCUCAGCUAGAGCCACGGCCAUCCCUCUGGGAUCUGGCCACGCUCCUGUCUCGGCUCUCAGGCCUGGGUGGUCCUGGCUCCCUGGCUGCCAGCCCCGGGGGCCUCCCUGUCCGCGGCUAGUUUCCUUUGCCUCCCUGCAGACACCCCCUUCUUCACGCUCGCCAUCACCUGCUGGGGCGGCCCUGCCCUGCUCCUGGCUGUCCAUGUCCCCUCCCCUGAGGGUCCACAUGGAGCCUCUGGCUGGGAACACCUGCCACCUUCAUCCUCCGCUGUCUUCUCUGCCUGUUUACGCCCAGGCUCACCCGCCCCGGGCAGCAGAAAGUGAGGCUGGUCAGCCUCGUCCUCGGGCCCUGGACACCGGAGAAGCCCAUUUCCACGUUCCCGGGAGAGUCGCCUUAUCCAGACUCUUCUCUGGGGGCCUCCACGGGGCUUUGCCACCCCCUCCAGGGCCAGCCUCCUCAGGCCUCCCCCUGCUCAUCAAGCCUCGGGGGUGUCCUGCUCCAGAGGGCAGGGCAGGCUCGGGGCUUGCCUCCCGCAUCCCUGCCUGGGGCCCCUCGGACCUACAGUGACACGACAAGCCCUCGGGAGGAAAGAGCUUAGGAGGGACUCAGCUCAGCCAGCAAAGGGAGGUUUCAACAAACGUCAGGACCAUGAAAGGGAUGCGAGCGGGUGGAUGGAUGAGACAGAGGGGGCUCCGGAGCCUGAAAUCUGCAAGGGGGGCCGCAGCGCAGGGAGGAGCCCACCUGCCCAGCAGAGUGCCCAGGGGCCCAGUGUCCAUGGCCACACCCAGGCCCUCCCUUACACGCCGGCUGCCACCUCACCCCCAGGUAAUAAAACACUGCCUCGGGGAGAGGUCCCACCACAAAAAUGAACUUCCUGUGGACACGGUCUUCCCCCCAAAAGCCUUUCAGGCUCCAGCUCUUGGAAAGCCAGUCCCGAAAGGGUGUCCUGCUCGUCCCCCAAAGCUAGUUGUCCGGGGGACCAUGGCUCCUCUGCUCCAGAUGACAGCAGAGGAAGCUCACGGCGGCCACUCAGGGGCUCGCUCCUAAACGGGAAGCCGUUGCCAGGAUCCCCAGGCACCUGACCAACAGCCUGCGAGGGAAACCAGACCUUGGAGGAAACAGAGGCUGUUGAAGGAGCUCGGACCCUUUCCCGGGUGCAAGGGCGGGGGUUCUUUUUCAUGCAUCUGCUAUGAGAGAGUUACUCAAGGCUGUGCUCCAGCAAAAGCAGGGAGCUCAACCAAAACAGAGGAGGCCAUGGAAGCUGAGAAUCGGGGAGCAUGGCUCUGCGAGGGGACGGGAGGCCCAGGGCAGCUGGGAGCAGGCCAGGCGGCCGCCGUCCCCAUGGCAGCCGUCAAGACAGGGCGGGGGGUGUCUCCAGAAAAGGCAGGAUGCUCAUUAACACAGAGGCAGCCAUUCCGAGGGAGGAAGUGAUGAUAUAUCGAAGCUCGCAUCUAAAGAGAAAUGUCGGAACUCCCGCUGUGGCUCAGGGGCGUGGCCAGCAUUCAGCAGGACUGGGGUUCAAUCCCAGGUCCCGCCCGGUGGGUUAAAACUCCGGCGUUGCCACAAGCUGUGGUGUAGGUCACAGCCACGGCUCGGGUCUGGCGUGGCUGUGGCUGUGGCUGCAGUGUAGGCUGGCAGCUGGUGCUCGAAUACGCCCCCUGGCCUGGAACUUCCAUAUGCCGCCGAUGCAACCCUAAAAAGCAAUACGUAAAUAAAUGAAUUUUAAGAAAAUAAAAAUAAAUAUCAUCAAAAGCUCCAGGAAAACAAAAAGGCUCUACGAGAGGGUUGGAACAACUGUUGCAUAAAGUGACCUUGAGCAGGUAGCGGCUGUGACUGGAAGGGCGGGUUUGUCGAGUGCACUUGCCCUGAGGUUCCAGAAGUCUCCUUGGAAACACGGGGGCUGUGACAAAGGGCCUGUGGGAGGGCUGUCCUCUCAGCGCAGGCCUAGGUCAGCCCUGAAUGUUGUUCACACCGUGGGAACAAUCUACACGCUCUUCUCUGACACUGACUUAUUUUAUUUCUAAUUAAUGUAUUCAUUUAACAACAGCUUUGACCGUGUAAAUAUAAACAGGCCGCUGGCAGAAGCAGAAGCGGGGUUCACAGAACGGGGCACCAAUUUGCUUUUGUUGCUGCUGUUGUUGUUUCUGCUUUUUGGGGGCCACCCCCGAGGCACAGGGGUCGAAUCGGAGCUAUGACUGCCAGCCUGCAGCAGAGCUGCAGCAACGCCAGAUCCUUAACCUGCUGAGUGAGGCCAGGAUCGAACCUGCGACCCCACGGCUCCGCGUCGGAUUCGUUUCCGCUGCGUCACGACGGCACCUCCAGGGCACCAACCUGUCAUGAUCUUGUUCAUUCUGUUGACUUGGUUCUUUGGCUUCUGUCUGUCUCGCCCCCAGAGCACGGGCUCAUCAAGAAGCUCUGGUUUUCUCCUGCCCGGACCCUCCCACGGAGCCUGCGGCCAGAGGCCCAGAGAGGUUCAAAAGCUGGCCCGAGACGCACAGCAAGGAAGCGUAAGGAGGUGUUGGAGGCGAACGAACUUCGCGCUCUCUGCUGCGCUGGGGCAGCUGGGAAUUGCACUCAGCCAGGGCCCUGGGUCCUUUGGAGGGGACCCCGGCUCCCAUGGCUCUGAGCACUGCUGCUCCUUCGGACCAGGGCCUGCUCUGCUGACCCCAGAUCCUCUGAAAGCCCCCAUCCCCGUCCCUGUCAGUGCCAGGUGGUCACAGGGACAGGCCAGUACCAGCCAUGCUGUGAUGGGGGUGGGCCAGGGCAGCAGCCAUGCACGAGAAAGCCAUGCCACGCGAGGAUUUGGUUUCUGACUGGUGAUGGCCUCCUCCCCCAAGUGGAAGGCGGGAGUUUGGCUGGGCGAGCUGGCGGUGAGCCGGACCUCGUUACAGAGGGCGGAGAAGGCACGGGAGCUGCCGGAGGAGGCCAGUGACCGCGUGACCUUGUCCCUGACCGAGUGCAGCUGCCUGGGAAGAGCUGGUCCAGGGACAGCCGGCUCUGUCAUGCUCCUGGCCCGCCCACAGGCCCCCAGGGCUCCCUUCUUCUGGGUGAAGGGGUUGUGGGCCCCCUGGGUGUUCUGUCUCGGGACCCCAGCCCUCACCCCUCCCCUGCCCCAGCCUGGACUGUGGACGGUCUCGGGUGGGGUCACAGGGGCGGCCCCGGGGUCCUGCUGCAGGUGGGCUGUGGCCCAAAGCUUGUGACCUCCUCUCUGCUGCGUGGCUGGGGGAGGGGAGGCGGGUGAGAACCCAGGGCUGAGGCUGGUGUGACAGAGAUCUCCCCCCCCACCGCCUUCAGCACCUGUGGGGGGUACACUUUCAAACGCCCCGCCCUGCCCGUAACUCCAGCAUCAGCCCAGAGGAAGAUGAAAAAGCCACUGAGCAUGUCUCAAACCCCAGGAAGCCGAGCUAGAGGGAGAUGGAGGGUCUUGGGUUCACGGGAGCAGCGGGUGAGGGGGGCAUGAAGCCCCAGACACACUGGAGGGUCUGGGCUGAGGCUGCUGUCGUGUGAGUGUCCCACCCCGCCUUGGGAAUGCAGGCCUCUGGUACCCAGGACCAAGCCAGGGUCAGGGAGCAGAGGGUUGGGGGUGCCAAGGGCCCACAGGACCAGGUCCCCGACCUCCCCCCUGUUUCCUGCUGGGAGGAGGGGCUGUGUGCCUUCUGGUCUUUGGGGUCCACCCCAGCGGCGGGUGGGGGGACUCCCAGCACCCGAUGUGGAGGGAGGGAAAGAACCCCAGCAUUUAGCAGGGUUGGCAGUGUGCAAGGAGGUGGGCGCAGGGGGACAGCACAUGGCCUUGGGGGCUGUGUCGAGGCCCCAGGCUGCCCCCUGCCCCGGACCCAAGCUUUCAGGGCAUAUCCGUAAUUGAGCCUUUUGCUUUACCAGGAGGAAGUCAGCAGGAAGCAUGUUGGCACAGCCUCGGUGGAAGCGAAAGACCACACGCUGGAAUCCCAAAGCUUCAACUAUUCAUCAGCUGCCCAGUGCGCCAGUGGCGGUUCGGAGUGGCUGUUAGCCUGGCAUUGACGCUAAACCUGGAGCAACAAGGACCGAAAUUCAGCCCAAACGACUGUUGGCACCUCCCCCUCUGAGGUCUCGUGGAAAUUGGAUGAUCAAUUUUUAAGUGGCUUUAAUGAAAUAUUAGUUCCUUCUCCUUUGAAAUCGAUUUCACCAAAGCCAAAGCUUUAGAUCAGGUGAAAUCGCUCUUGGAAUAUGCCAGAGACAGGAUCCACCAACAGGCAGGUCUUCUCCGCCACUGACUGCCGGGAAGUGUCAAAGAACUGGGAGCCAGAGAUGGUUCUAUGGUCUCGGGAGGGAGCAGGGCCCAUGCUUCCCUCACCAGUCCCUGACUCAGGGG